GUAGUGAAUUUUGAGAACAUUCACAGGCGAACUGCUAUAUAACUCUAUAGCCUUCUAUGAAUCAUCAGCAAGCUGUUGCUCUGGAUCAAUCAGCUCUCUGUAAUUUGUCCUCUCCUUCUGCAAACGUGGAGUCAGCUGAUAGAGCAGUUUUUGAAAUUGUCAGAGGAACAUUCUCAAGUAUUCUGAAGAAUUUCUCAGGAUACAAUUUAAGCUGCUGGAUCAUUGUGUGAAGCCCCCCCAUCUCCUGUCACAAGGUCAGUAUUGGAUGUACCCAGACACUUCAAUUCUUCUUUUUCUUUUUGUUAAUUAAUAGGCUUACAACCAUGACCAGGUCAUCAUCACUUGAGGAUGUAGUCGCCAUUGUUUCUCCAUUUCCAUCUUCUCUCUCCCCGUAUUUUUAUGCGAAUAUGCUAAAUUUGUUCACAACGCACCAGGUGUGUAUAGGAUAAGGCGUAAGCUGAACAUUCUGCAUUUUUGCAUCGCUUUGCUGAUUUGCCGGUGUGAGCAGGCAGGAGCCUGGUGCUGACACUGUCUGAAUGGAUAGGGGAUAAUUCUACUUCUACAACACUUAAAGAUCAUAAAAGUGGCUGUACUUUUAUUGGAGUGAAGUACAGCAGUACUCUGUCCUCCUGCAGUGAAAAGGUGCAGAUCUUGGAUGACUGCAGGCUAAUGUGUUCAAUGCAGUGGUUCCUGAAGUGUUGGGAACCACCACGCAGUUUUUGGAGCAUUGUUAAAGGAUGCCUGUACAGAGCAAACCCCCAACUUCCCCCCAUCCAGAGAUAUUUUUCAUGGCACUAAAGAGCACAGUAAAGAGCACAAGUCUUUCAACAGAAAACGUAUCGGCAAGACUUUUAAAAAUGAUCUCUGCUAAGAUGUUGACGUCAGUUUAAUGUCUUGGCUCCUUUCUCCAGCAGCUAAAAUGGAGGUGUUGUCUUGUGCUUUAGUGUCAUGUGGAUGUUUCUCUCCAUGUCUGGAUGUCUGAGCAUCUCAAAGAUAAAUGAAGGAAGAAGCUGGAGUGUCAGUCUGAAGAAUCAUCUCCGUGUUCUUCAUUAAAACAGCCGGACUGCAGAUCCUCCCUCUGCAUUUUGCUGCCUGUCUCCUUCCAUCCACCUUCAACCACUCAUCUGUCACUCCAGCUAUUUUUCACCUGCCUCCCAGCAACAACACACCACCCCCCGUCUUUGAGGGAGUAAACCAAACCAGCGAGCUUAACGCAUUUCUAAUGAGCCACACUGUUCACAGAGUGCAGAUUAGUCAUCGUACGUCCGUGUCGAGGAUCACGUUCGCGCCGAGGCUCCAUGUAUCAUCUCCUCGCCGCCAUCAACGUCUCUGCAGAAAAAAAAAAACAAAUGGAAAAUCUGCUCCACGAAGAAUAAUUACUGAGUUCUGCUGAUGUCAUAAAGAAGUAGAAAUCAGUGUUUGUGCGUCUGUGGGUUCAUAAAGAAGCACUUCAGAGGAUUUAGGAGGAAUCUCUGGUUGUUUGAGGAGGCAGCUCUUCAUUACUGUUUGACAGAUGGCAUUGUCUUUAGAUAUGCUGUCACAUUCAUAUAAAUAAACUGGCUGGUGUCAUCUAUUCAGAUCAGAGAGAACGCAGAGAGAGCGCCAGGUGCUCACCGGGCCAACACGUCACCAACAGCUCUGUUUUUUCUCCGAGCGUGUGUUUCGUUAGCAUGUAAAGUAUGAUCUGCAGAAUCCGCGAGUGUGAGGAGGCUGGACCAAGAUUCAGUCCUGUUGCUGGACCAGGUCUUGUUGAAAUGUCCAGACCCAUCCCUGAUCUGUUCACAUUCAUAUUUGUCUACCACUGACAUGUUCUGGAGUAUCUUCUGAUUGUUUCCCUUCCUCUCAUAGCCAAAGACUCAUGUUAUUUUUUAGCAUUUUUGAUGGAUAUUAAUUUGAAAAGUUAAAAAUGAAUAAUUUUCAGCAUACAGGUUAUUUAUUUACACUUUGGCUGGUCUACUCAUUGUCCCCAGGGUCAGAACCAAGCAGGGUGAAGCUGCAUUCAGCUUCUAUGGCCCUCACCUGUGGAGCAAACUCCCUGAACACCUAAGGUGUUCACAAACUUUUAGUUUAGUCAAAUUAGGGCUGAAAACCUUACUGUUUACCGCAGCUUUCCUAUUUUUUCAAUUUAUUUUACUUUGAUAUUUGAUCAUCUCAACAGUUUUAAUAAUGUUAAAUUACAUUUUGAUAUUUUAUUGAUUUUAAGCUUACAAAUGCCUCCUCUGUUCCAUGUUUCUCACAGGGAAUCAAAACCAAGUUGGGAUCUAACUAUUGAAAUGGGAAGAACAGGAAAAAGGCUGGGCAGCUCUGGGUCAGGGACCCACUGUGCACUGAGUUCUUGGGGACCCGACAAGUCUUGAAGACUUGGACUGAGUGCUGGGGAGCUCAGGGUCUAAAAGCUUGCGACUUAUUUCAUUUUUCUGGGCAAAGACGGUUUUCAUAAAUAACUUGGUAAAACAUGGAACAGACAAUUUAUUUUUUAUCUGUUUAUCUUAUUUAUUUCAAAACUGUUUAUUUCUUACCAAUUUUAAAGCAUUUUAAUCACUCAUUUUUUCCUUUCCAAUAUAUAGUAUUUCCUUACAUCUGUAGAGCACGUUGAAUUGCCUUAUGUAUGAAUGGUGAUAUACAAAUAAACUUGCAUUGCCUUGCCUAGUUCUGAUUUGUAUCUGACAUCAGUAAAUACAGUUAUAUUCACAGAAUGAUGUCCUGACAGCCACACUAAUGCCAAUCUGUGACAUGUGGUGUUGUAAUGAAGCCAAUGAAGAAUUGAAUAAAUCAAUAAAUAAAAACUGCAGUUUUGCAGAGUCCACUA